ACAGCGCCCAGUUAUAAUCCAGGUUGAGGAACAGCUAUUUUUCAGCUUUUCUGGAGGAAUGCAAAGUUCUCUUUCCUUAAGACAAAUGAGUCUGUUGCCUGCUCCUGCCUGCCUCCCAUCUAAUCCUUUGCUCAGGGAGCGACUUUUGAAGUCAAUGAUGAUGCCAGAUUUGGAAGAAUUCUAGAGGCAUGUGUUUGGGGAGCAGCGUGGAUGAGAAUCAUAUUGGAUCUGCAGACGGACACUGGAAUAAAACUGGCCUCGUUCAACUGUUUGUGCAGUUCUUCCAGCAAUGGAGUUAUCACUUCACUUUUCAUGUGUCCAAAAGGAAACUUGGAAUCUGAAGUGCGUGAAUUUAACGAAGAAGAACAAACUUUUGAGCAAACCAGGGCUUACUGCAACACCUGGCUACCAGCCUGAAGAUGAAGUUAACAUAGGAGGAUAACAAAGCAAAGAGACUUUCAUUAAAGCAGAACUGGAACUUGACAUGCUGUACCUGCUGCCACCCUAUCUUGGAACUUCCUGUUCUGGAAGCCAGAAUUCUGACAUGGAUCUCACUAGACUAAAACCAAAGUGGUGGCAGGCCUCUGUUCCUUUCUGAAGGCUCUGAGGGAGAAUCCAUUUCCCACUCAAUCGGAUUGUUGGCAGAUUCAGCUACUUGAGGUUGUAGGAUCAAGAUUCUCAUUUUCUUUCUGGCUGUAAACGGAAUACCGUUCUGUUUCUGGAGGCCAUGACAUUCCUUGGCUUGUAGCCAUCCUCCUCUAUCUUCAAAGCCAGAAACCUGUGAGAGCUGCUUGGCUGCUGCCGGUGUCAUGCCUUGUGGGACAGAGAUGAAGCCCUCUGACUCCUGGAACCCAAGCAGGCCCGUUUGUGGAAGAAAUAAAAAAGAAUGCUGAUUCCUGCUCUAUUUGAUUUGAAACAAAAACACACAAAUCUCAGCAAGUAAGAUUAGAUGGGAGUUUCCUCAACCUUAUAUACUGCAUCUACAAAAAAAACUACGACUAACAUCAUACCUACUGGUGAAAGUCUGGAUGUUUACCCUACCAUCUAAGAUCAGAAAAAGAGCAUGAAUGUCCACACUCCCUGCUUCCAUUCAUCAAUGUAUCAGAAGUUCCUGUCAGUUAAAUAAGCCCUGACUCUCUCAACAUCCUUAUAUUCACAUUGUGCUGGAAUUCCUGCUCUUCUUCUGACAAGUUGUUAGCUACUUGCUGUGGACUCCUCUCCAUCAUGUGAAAUGCCCCAAGCCAGUAAGAUCUAGACCAAAGCCAUCUCCUCUAUAAGCACCUCGAGUACUUGGCUCCUACUUUUGAGCAAUGCUCCUCAAACGGUGAUCUCUGAACCAGCAGCAGCACCUGGGAACUUGUUAAAAAUGCAGAUUCUCCAGCCCCGUCCAUACCUACUGAGUCAGACAUCCAGAGCCUCGUCUGCAGCGCCUGAACCUGAUUUGGAUGAUGGGAUACUGGACCUUGAGUGUGAGAUGGAUGCUAUCCAGAUGAGAUAUUUGGGAGUUCAAGGAGCGGAUGCCUGGGACCCUGGAAUCUUCUCUGCAAUUGGAGUCUUCCCCAAAAACCCCCUCCAUAAGUGUAUGCAGCUGAUGCCCGCGGGCCGGCCAAGGAAGGGCUGUUUGCCACAGCUCUUUCGUGCGUCUGCUCAUGCUCCAAGCACAGGUCGUGCCAAGAGGCUCGGCAUAAACGGUUUCAAAUGCACAGAAUGUGAUGGGAAUCUCAUCUGAAACCAUAUGGCCUUUCACAAAUGCUCCAAAUGGCCACUACUCAAAGGAAGAAAUCAAGGCACAGAAGUGAAUUUACCUGACUGAGGUCACACAGCAAGCAGAACCAGGGUAUGAACCAAAGUUCUUCAGCGCUGGAUUAAAUUGCUCCUCACAGGAUCUCUCAUCCAAGCCAUGCUGCACGCUACGGCCACUUUAUUUUUCUAAAAUAGUGUUUUAAAUGUGACAGUAUGUACUAGCAACCUCAAUUACCCAUACCUGUUGGCUCAAAAUUUGAGUAAAAAUCUCUGGAAUUUUAUCCUAAGAAAAUAAUUAGUAACAUAUGGAAAGAUGUAUAUAUAGGGAUCUUCAUUACAACAUGAUUUAUAGUAGUUCAAAACUGGAGACACCUUUAAUGUUCAAUGGUUGAUUACACAGAACUGUGGCACGUUCACAUGAGGGACUAUACACCGUUAACAGUGCCACUGCAGAAGAGUGUUUGAUGACAUGGGAAAAUGUUCAAGAUUUACUAAGUGGGGGGUCGGGGGGAAGCAGAUUAUAAGUUAUAUAGAGCCAUAUAGAGUAUGGAUCCAAUUUUGUUAAAAAAGGAAAAAGCCCCAAACCCCAAACCAAAGCAAAACCAAAAAAUCCAAAAUAUACCAAAAUGUUAACCAAAAUUGUUUCUAAGGUAUUGGGACCCUAAGGGAGUUAUUUUCAUGCUUUUCCAAAAUUUUAUAAUGAAUAUAUGAUACCUUGUUAUCAGAGCCCCCUCUUACGAUAAACAUUAUUUUAAAAAUAACAUUCAAAUCCCACUACUUCUGUAGUAUCAUUUUUCUGCUCAAGGACGUGACAAUAAAUACUUAAUGUCUGUUACCCUAGGUUGAAAGUUUCUCUACCUACAAUUGAAGCCCCUUUGUCUAAGGCUUCUUGUUGGUUCUUCAGUCCCAACCUCUGAGUCCUUCUAGGAGACCAUAGCCAAAUUGAUCUCUUCAGUACGCUUCUCUUACCCAUCACCCACCAGCUCCGUGAUGGGUAAGGCCGAGCCAUAGCACUGCUCUAUCACUCACACCUCACUGCUACAGAUGCAUCAAUUCCUCCAUUGGAUUCUUACAGUAUAACUUGGAUUUAUUUAGAAACAUUUGGUACUUCUUUCUAGUUUUACCAUGUGUGGAAAAUGGCACUCAACCUGGGGGCCAUACAGUUAUUAUAAAAAGUCAUCAUUACCAUAUACAAGCCAGGCCAGUGCUAUUAAUAACAUUUCCCACAUUUAUGUGCUGCAGUUUUAUUAUUUACCUGCUGGCCUUAGUUGCUCUUCAGUGUCUCCUACAUCACAUUGUUCACACUUGGGCUACAACACUUCCCACCUCAAUUAAACAGAUAUAUUUACACGUUUGUUACUCUUGCUCAAUCGUCACUUCCUUGAGUUCAGUAAUAAUAUCUAAUUAAGCUUUAUAGCACAUAGCACAUAGUAGUUACUCAAUAAAUAUUUAUUGGAUGAAUUACAGAUUAGAGGAAAUGGGUGAAUCUGUAUCUAAAUAAUAUAAGUUGCUUGAGGAAAAUCCGGGAAGCAACUUUCACAUAAUUGAUAACCAGAAUACACCACCAAACACCAGAAAUGAUUAAAAUCUCCAUAAGUGAUACUGUUAAAACUAAAAAUAUGUCCUAUGCCCACUUAGCUUUGCCAGAUAUCUAAGAGAUGCAUAAAAGUUAACCUGAAUGUGUACCCAUCAUAUUAAUUUCUUAUAUUACAUGAUUGUUACUACCUAGAGAUUUAGUGAUAAAAUAGGUGAAGGGAGGAGGAAGAGAAAAGAAGAAUUUUUACUGGUUGUGAAAAUUCCCAAAUGGUAACUCCAGUUGCUACUUUCCCCCCAACUAUAUCAUUAAUUACUCUUAAGUUGCUAUGUAUCUGUAGAAACCAAAAGAUCAUACCACGAUUCACAAGACACAAUGCUAUAUGAAUAAGUAGUCUAGAUGGGGAGCUAUAAUCUUCUUGUGGGGCUUUGGAGAAGCUGUAACCACAUGAGGAAAGUCUGACUGGUUAAUAUAGCCAGUCAAGCCAUUGCUUGCAUUUAAGAACACUGUAACCCCAAACACACAGACUUGGUUUUAUAUAAUGCGUGGGUAUAACUCCAAUGCGUCUGCAUACUGCAAGGAUUUUUCCAUCUCAUGUUGGCCCUAAUUUCCAUUUCUUUAGACUACUUCACUUCUCUCUUUGAGCUCUAUGGGUGCUAACAUUACAUCCUAAGUGGGCAAAACUGAGACUCCUCUUUCCAUCUUAGCUACGACCAUGAAAUGUAGAUAUUUAGCUACCAGUGGAUUCCGUCAUCCAGCUAAACAUGAACCUGGAUCAAAGGGAGAAUAUGCAGAGAGAAAAGGGAAGCAUUUUUCCUCUUCACCUGUGAAUAAUAAACAAAAGUACCCUUUUGGAACCAAAUGGGUAACUCCAAGAGAGAAGCCAUUUCAAAGCAGUUUGUUAUUUAGACUGUGGCAAAAGCAUAGCAAACAUUAUUUAAAAUACAACUCCUAAGAAACCAACCAGAGAAAUAAAAACCAGGAAAUUAAAAAGGUAUAGUUUAAAAUGAAACCCUAUCAUAACAUAACUCUAGAGUUAGGGAAACUCAGGUCCAGUCCCCCGCUUUAUAGACUAACCUCAUUCCCUCAGGCUUUUCACAGGUGAACUUAUGUUUUGCAUGAAUGAGAGCACGAUGAGAUCCACAGCUACCUGGAUUUGAAUAACAACGAGCCACUGUGAGUGUGGCACUCUGUAUCGAGGAUAUGACGUGCAGUGAAUGGACUCUGGGAUGAGGAUGCUCCCCUGGACCUGUCACUAUGUUAGCAAAUCAGACUCACUUUGGAACUGGGAAUUUGAGUUCUGUCCCGAGUUAUGAGCCUGAAGACUGGGGUACGAGCAAGAUGGGGGUGAGAAUAAGGGCCGAACAGUAUAGCAGAAGCAAAUGGAGUAGUCUCCACAAGGGAACUCCAGUCUUAAGAACAAAUUAUGCUUCAUGGGAUAUACGAUCCUCAGGACAUUCACGGGAUAUACGAUCCUCAGGACAUUCAGGCAUUGAAUAGGAAAUAUUAAUAAUGAUACCUGUGUCCUUUAGUGGAGAGCUUUCCACAUAAAAUAAAAAUACUUUACGUAUUAAUGAGGCAAAAAAAUCAAGAAAUAUGAC